GCUGAUUGCUACACUGGUACUGAGUUGUGUUUUACUGACGUUAUUUUCAGUGCUCCCCCUCCCCCAACACACACACACAUACACACACACACACACUUCCUAUUUUUAUUCUCCCCCUUCUUCAUAAGUGUGAGCUCCCACACCUCUACGUGGAACUGAAGGUUAAUAGUAUUCACAUCUGCACGGAAGCGCGCAACGAUGGCUGAUGCGACCCUUCUUCAUCGCCUCAUAGAGGCUUUGCCAAAGGCAGAGCUGCACGUGCACAUUGAGGGAACACUGAGCCCAGAACUGCUCUUUGAGCUUGCGAAGAGGAAUGGGGUGCAGAUUCCGUACAAGACGGUGGAGGAGGUCCGCGCGGCCUAUAACUUUACUGAUCUGCAGUCGUUUCUGGACCUCUAUUAUGAAGGCAUGUCUGUCCUCAUCACCGAGGACGAUUUUGCGGACCUGGCAUACGCCUACACGCGUGUGAUGCACGAGAGUCGCGUUACUCACGCCGAGCCCUUUUUCGAUCCUCAAGGUCACCUCUGCCGCGGCAUUACAUUUCGCGUUCUCUACGACGGGCUCAUGAAGGGGUUUCGCCGCGGUGAGGCCGAGUUUGGAGUCAGUGUAGCGCUCAUCUUUAGCUUCCUUCGUCAUCUCUCCGAGGAGGAGUGCUUUGCACUCGUGCGCGAUGACAUGCACCCCGACAACGGUCAGUACAUCCGUGAGUUAUUCGCAGCGAAGGCGUUUGUAGCGGUGGGGCUGGACUCUUCAGAAUUGGACAACCCGCCGGAGAAGUUCGCGCGGCUCUACCGCUACUGCCACGAAGAGCUGAAGGUGCCGUUCCUUGUGGCGCACGCGGGUGAGGAAGGUCCACCGGGGUACAUGCGGGAUGCGAUGAGCAUGCUGGCAGUGGACCGCAUCGACCACGGUGUGGCCGCGCGUCUGGACCAGGCGCUGUGCAAGGAUCUGCGUGAGAAGCGAAUUCCACUGACUGUGUGCCCGACGUCGAACGUAGCCCUCAAGGUCUUCCAGGAUCGCGCGACGUGCGGGGCGGUGGUGAUGGACCUCGUUUUGACAGAGGGGCUUUGCAUCACCAUCAACUCAGAUGAUCCGGCCUACUUUGGCGGCGACAUCCGAGAGAGUUUCCGCAUUCUCGCCGAGACGGGCCGACUCACCCCGGCCACGCUGAAGCAGCUCGUGCUCAACUCGUUCUGCAGCAGCUUCAUCGCCGAAGAUCGCAAGCGCGCGUACGAGGAGAGGGUGGAGAAGGUGUUCAAGGACGUGUGCGGGGGGACGUAUGAAUGAGGCCUUGAAGGGGGUAUGAGCUGUGGUUGGCGGAGCAAGCUGUGGCGGCGAGGGCAUUUUUAUUUAGUAUUAUAUAUAUGCGUGUGUGUGCUGCUCCUUCCACUCUUCACACGGUCCCCUUGUGCACUCUUAUCUUUUACAUUGCUCAUCGUAUUUCUAUUACUAUCAUCACCGUCAGGAGUUUUCCACGCACGCGCGAUACAUGUUCAGAAUGAGAGCAUCUUGCCCCUUCUCUUUUCCUUUGUGUUUCUCCUCUUUCUCUCCCCCUCUCUCGGUUUCCUUUUUCUUUUUCCAUAGAGAAAGAACAGGAGGAGAAGCUGUCGCGGGGCGAAUCGUUUACGUUCGCUCCCUUCUAUUCGUUGAAAAAAUGUUUUUGCUUUAUUAUUAGUUUUCGGUCCUUUUAUGUUUUUAGAUCCCAGUUCUCUGUGGCGAUGCAUCAACGGUUGUGUUGCAGACGAAAAAAGAAAGGAGCGGAGGAGGCAGUCUCCAGCUUCUCUCGUUGUUGACCUUUCGUUUUUUUUUUCGUCGUCUUCCGCUUGCAUAACUCUUUAUAUAUAUUUUUUUCCUUUGGUACACGGGCUGCUACACACGGGCACAGACACGCGAGUGCUGGCAGAUGAGGUUGGUAUGGGUCUGCUGAGUCACUGAAUGGAACAUGAAGGCGUGGACAUCUGCAAAAAAAAGGGCGAUGAAAGAACAAGAUUGAGAGGGCGCCAACAAAGGACUGAAGCGGAAUGCUCUCCAGAAACGGUGCUGCCGUAAGCCAACGGCCACGUUCCGCGUGCACGGCUUCUUGAGUUGCCACUGGCAGUGCCGUUACUCUGAUUGUAUUUGUCUCCUUUCAGCGCUGUUUCUUUGCUCUUGCUACUAAUUCCGUUGUGAUUUAUUCUAUUCUUCCUCCUAAUAAACUGCGGCUGCCCCUGAAUAUGUGGAUGUGCACCUCUGUAGUGGUGCUUCUGUCUAGGCCAGUCCAAGUUGGUGCUGCCCGAUCGUAUUGGGGAUGGGCAUAGGUGAGUGACACGCGGGCAUCUACGAGCGCUCGAGUGAAUUGCGGCUCCCUUCCUUCUCUGCACCCCAUUAGUCAUCCCAUUCGCUUGUGGGUUUCGACGCCGCUGUCUUUUCCGUCUCAUCUUGAUCAUAUAUGUUUCGUUUCUUUUUUUCACCUCAAUUCGUCUUCCCGGAUAAUGUGGUCUCUCUUGCCCUUGCUUCCUCUUCUGGUUCUGCGCGUGCGGCGAGCGAUUGAGGGGGAGGGACAAGAAUAAGAGGAAAAGCGAACAACAGCAGCGAAAUGAACAAAAAGACCACCACCACCAAAAAAAUAAACGGAAUGGAGGCAGUGAGACCGGCGCUCUUCUCGCUGUUCUCAGGGUGUCAUUGUGACGUGAAACGGAUAUAGGUGGGGAAUGUAGUAAUAGCGCACGGCAUUGUCUCUUUUUUUUUUGCUCAUCUGCGCGCGCAAUAACACCGCGUCUUUCGGCGCCGUAGGGUAACUUCGCCCAGGUACACACUAAAC
rnacentral:misc_RNA from 1 species